rnacentral:ncRNA from 2 species
ACUUUCGCAGCGAAUUUUGGUUUGAUUAGCCUUUAGCUAAUUGAUUAAAAGGGAAUCAAGUGACUAGUGAAAUUUUGUUUUGCUACAGUCUUGAACUGUUCCCGCAACUGUAAUCUUAGUUCGUGUUAACGAAUGCUUUUUAUGUUUCUUCAAAACCACUGAUAGUUUCUAUUGGGAAGGUGAAUAAAAAGACGAGAGUCAGGAGACCUGCCAUAUUCAACAAAAAAAG